GGCUCGGUAGCGCAUGGAUGCGCAUCUGCUGCACUUGCACCAACUCGUGUAUACUUCGAGCAGAAGGUCCCCGUUCGAUUCGGGGUCGAGCCA